rnacentral:rRNA from 2 species
UACGUAGGGUGCAAGCGUUAAUCGGAAUUACUGGGCGUAAAGCGUGCGCAGGCGGUGAGAUAAGUCAGCUGUGAAAGCCCCGGGCUCAACCUGGGAACUGCGGCCGAAACUGUCUCGCUAGAGUACGUCAGAGGGGGGUGGAAUUCCACGUGUAGCAGUGAAAUGCGUAGAGAUGUGGAGGAACACCAAUGGCGAAGGCAGCCCCCUGGGAUGAUACUGACGCUCAUGCACGAAAGCGUGGGGAGCAAACAGG